GGUGGCUCAGUGGUAGAGCGCUUGCCUUGCAUGCUCAAAGCCCUGGGUUCGAUUCCCCAGCACCA
rfam:Dipodomys ordii contig_18652, whole genome shotgun sequence.